CCAAUAGCGUAUAUUAAAGUUGUUGCAGUUAAAAAGCUCGUAGUUGAAUUUCGGGAUCAAUAUGUCGGUCGUGCCAUUGGUACGUACUGGUAUCAUUGAUUUCUCCUUUCUGACGAAUCAUGAUGUCAUUAAUUUGGUGUUAUGGGGAGUUAGGACUGUUACUUUGAAAAAAUUAGAGUGUUUAAAGCAGGCAUUAGCUUGAAUACAUUAGCAUGGAAUAAUGAAAUAGGACGUUUGACCCAAUUUUGUUGGUUUCUAGGAUCGACGUAAUGAUUAAUAGGGAUAGUUGGGGGCAUUAGUAUUCAAUUGUCAGAGGUGAAAUUCUUGGAUUUAUUGAAGACUAACUACUGCGAAAGCAUUUGCCAAGGAUGUUUUCAUUAAUCAAGAACGAAAGUUAGGGGAUCGAAGACGAUCAGAUACCGUCGUAGUCUUAACCAUAAACUAUGCCGACUAGGGAUCGGAUGAUGUUAAUUUUUUAAUGACUCAUUCGGCGCCUUACG
rnacentral:rRNA from 1 species